UACGAGGUGUGCGAGCGUUGUUCGGAAUCACUGGGCAUAAAGGGUGCGUAGGCGGCGCGGUCAGUCGGUUGUGAAAUCCUUCGGCUUAACCGGGGAAUUGCUUCCGAUACUACCGCGCUUGAGGGUGAAAGGGGCAAGCGGAAUUCCAGGUGUAGCGGUGGAAUGCGUAGAUAUCUGGGAGAACGCCGACGGCGAAGGCAGCUUGCUGGGUCACUUCUGACGCUGAGGCACGAAAGCUAGGGGAGCAAACAGGAUUAGAUACCCUGGUAGUCCUAGCCGUAAACGAUGGGUACUAUGUUCCGGGGGGCCUGAUCCCUUCGGAGCCUGAGCUAAUGCAUUAAGUACCCCGCCUGGGGAGUAUGGUCGCAAGGCUAAA
rnacentral:rRNA from 1 species